rnacentral:tRNA from 1 species
ACAUUGGUGGUCCAAUGGCAGAACUCUCACCUUCCAUGUGGGAGACUUGGGUUUGAUUCCCUGCCAAUGCC